UUGAAUAAAUCUGACGUGGUUGUAGCUGGCUCUCAGGAGUAUGUGCUCGCCCGUCACCUUUAUCUUUCCACCUGUGCACACACUGUAGUCCUGGAUACCUCUCGUCGAAAGGCGGAUGCAGAGGUUGCUGGUUCCGCAAUGGGGCCAAGCUUUCUCUGAAUUUCCAGGUCUAUGAUUUUUACACACCCCAAAGAAUGUCUCAGAAUGUUUUCAUAAGGCCCUCGUGCCUAUAAAACCUAUA
rnacentral:misc_RNA from 1 species